AGUGAACGCUGGCGGUAGGCCUAACACAUGCAAGUCGAACGGCAGCACAGUAAGAGCUUGCUCUUACGGGUGGCGAGUGGCGGACGGGUGAGGAAUACAUCGGAAUCUACUUUUUCGUUGGGUAUAACGUAGGGAAACUUACGCUAAUACCGCAUACGACCUACGGGUGAAAGCAGGGGAUCUUCUGACCUUGCUCGAUUGAAUGAGCCGAUGUCGGAUUAGCUAGUUGGCGGGGUAAAGGCCCACCAAGGCGACGAUCCGUAGCUGGUCUGAGAGGAUGAUCAGCCACACUGGAACUGAGACACGGUCAAGACGCCUACGGGAGGCAGCAGUGGGGAAUAUUGGACAAUGGGAGCAAGCCUGAUCCAGCCAUACCGCGUGGGUGAAGAAGGCCUUCGGGUUGUAAAGCCCUUUUGUUGGGAAAGAAAAGCAGCAGGUUAAUACCCCGCUGUUCUGACGGUACCCAAAGAAUAAGCACCGGCUAACUUCGUG
rnacentral:rRNA from 1 species